rnacentral:rRNA from 1 species
GACGAACGCUGGCGGCGCGCUUAACACAUGCAAGUCGAGCGAGAACCAGGCCUUCGGGCCUGGGGACAGCGGCGAACGGGUGAGUAACACGUGAGUAAUCCACCCUCGGCACCGGAAUAGCCCGGGGAAACCCGGAUUAAUGCCGGAUGGCCUAUCCGCUUUUCGGAGCGGCUGGAAAAGGUAGCUUCGGCCUCCGGCCGAGGACGAGCUCGCGGCGGAUUAGCUUGUUGGUGGGGUAACGGCUCACCAAGGCGACGAUCCGUAGCUGGUCUGAGAGGACGAUCAGCCACACUGGGACUGAGACACGGCCCAGACUCCUACGGGAGGCAGCAGUGGGGAAUCUUGCGCAAUGGGCGAAAGCCUGACGCAGCGACGCCGCGUGAGGGAAGAAGGCCUUCGGGUUGUAAACCUCUUUCAGGAGGGACGAAGCCACUCGGGUGAAUAGCCCAGAGGGUGACGGUACCUCCAGAAGAAGCCCCGGCUAACUACGUGCCAGCAGCCGCCGUAAGAC